rnacentral:rRNA from 1 species
CCGCCCGUCACAUCAUGAAAGCCGUAUGCACCCAAAGGCAUUUCAUUAACCGCAAGGAGAUAAUUGCCUAAGGUAUGGAUGGUAAUUGGGAUG